AGAGAGGUUAGAGGACCGGAUGUCGCCAUAACCGUGUGAAUGUCCCCAGUGUUGUGUCCAGUUUAUAACUCGGGCCGCUAAGUGAGUCAAUACGAACUCUGAGCUUGAGCGUUGCUGAGGAUCUCUUCCAGUGCUUGGAAAUGACGUAAAGGCUUUCUUGGAGCAUCAUUUGGACAAAUUAAGUCAAAUUACCAAAAGCACAUGCUGGGCUCCUGUAAGAUGAUAUCAUGAGUUCUAAAGGAAAGUAUGUAGACUUGGACAGACUCAGCUCCACAGCAAAUAACGUUUGAAGGAAAAUUUCAAGAGUGCCUAUAAUUGUACCUUCCUGAAAAGAGAAGGUUCUGAAAUCUCCCACAAAACACCUGAUAAGUUUGGGCAUUAUAUUUAGGGAAAACAUUUUGAAGUAUGCAGCAGUGGAAACAACAAAGGACUUAAUGUCAAAAGACCUGCUUCAAGCCUGGUUGAAAUAAUCUUGCUUAUACACUUGGGGACGCUUAUGGAAGUGUUGGGGAGGCUCGAGGACCCCAAAGGGGAUAGGAACUCCACAGGAAGAUCAACGGAGCCAACUAACCUGGAGCCCUGGGAGCUCUUAGAGACUGAUCCACCAACCAAAGAGCAUACACGGACUGCAACAAGGCCCCAGGCAUGCAGCUCAGUCUCCAUAAAAGAGCACGCUGAGCCAUAUUUAAAAAAAAAAAAAAAGAGCACAGAAUGUACAGUGUCUAAAGCUACAUUCAAACCUUGGAAGCUUAGUUCUCCCUUUUUAGCAUAAAUUUUCAUUUUGUUUUGUUUUGUUUUGUUUUGUUCGAGACAGGGUUUCUCUGUGUAACCCUGGCUGUCCUGUAACUCACUUUGUAGAUCAGGCUGGCCUCGAACUCAGAAAUCCGCCUGCCUCUGCCUCCUGAGUGCUGGGAUUAAAGGCGUGCGCCACCACCACCCGGAUAAACUUUCAUUUUUAAUGGGUAUAAAUAAUUUAUGUUAGAAUUAUUUGUUCUCCAAACCCUCUUGAUUGAUUCUUGGGCUUAACAAUGUUUCCCUUUUUGUUCCA